CCCAAGCGGAUGCACGGAUCUUCACGUGUUCCGAGCGUAUGUUCUUCCCUGGGUGACAUCAGAAGAAAUGAAGACAGGCAAAGAUGAGGACGAGUUGUGACCCAGUUAGGGCUCCGCCAGCACAAAGGGUUUAUGGUUUGCUCUGGUUUUAUUUGUGUGGGAUCACCCAGACCAACGGAGACAGGAGCAGACAGAGAGAAGAUUCAUGAAAUGGGGGCUGAUGGAAGAAAUGAGGAUCACCAUGCUCUGUGUUUGUCAACAAAGUUUUCCCUCCAGCUGUGAUGGUGCCCUGGUUUGAUUUUUCCACAGCUGAGCACCGCAGCAGCACAAAAAUCCAGGUCGCAGAGGGCUGGAGCAUAUCCCACGGGGCUGAAGGCACUGGAGACACCCUGGAGAGGUCACCAAUAUAUCACAGGGCCAGACGUAUGUGUUCAAGAAAACUUCCACUAACACUGAGCCCUGAAAAAGGAUGUAAUUCCGAUGUGGGGAUGUGUGAAAUCGAGAAGAGGAAGCACAAAUGGAAACACUGAGCGAGAACUGCUGCUAUGUCUGGUCUGGUAGCGUAAUAUUGUCCAAAACAAUGUAAUGGCACAUUGCUAGAAUAAUUUCCAUUGGCGUAAAUUUGUAGUUGAACUACUGCGUGGUCUGACCCGCCAACUAGAGGUUUCAGGGAAAACACUUAACGUAUUCUUGAAUUUGUCCAUUGUUUCCGUUUCAGUAGGAGUGAACUGGAUAUGGAUGUUUGCAAGACGGGGCUGGACCUCAAGACGUACAUAGUAAGGCAAUAACUUACAUGCACGUUUACACCGUCUCCAUAACUAACCUGGACGUCUUUGGGAGGAAGCCCAGACAGACACAAGGAGAACAAACUCCUGACAGAAAGCCGGUCCCAACCCAGGACGUUCCGAUGCAAGUCAGUUUGGUUGUAGGUUGUAAAGAGUCAUUGAUCACAGAUGAAAUCCUCUGUUAUGGUUUGAAUCAUCAUUGUAUCAUUUCAGUGCCUAUUUGACUGUGCAUAGACGGUCAGUCGUUCAAUUUAGGCUACUAUGUCAAAGGAGACCAGGCACGUUCGGGGAAAAGUGAGCACACCAAAACAAUUUCACCACUUCAUCAUAAAAUAACUCCUGGAAUGUGUCGCGAGUAAUGGAUUGGUGAUGUUAAGAGUCUCUGUGGGUGUUUUUUUCCUCGUUAAAGUCAUGUUGGUUAAGGGAAAGGGGAGGUCAUGACGGAGAAUUUACUCUUCAAAAAGUGGUUUGUCAUUUUUGUGGUCUGCUGCACUCAAUUUUAUUUGUUUCUUGUUUGAGCUCUUCCUGGCAACCACAAAGCCCAGAGAUGUCCAAGGAUACAAAACGUAGCGCCUCUACUUUCUGUCAUGAGGGUGAAGCGGAAGGCGGACUGCUGAUGAAGAUGUUGGCAGACUAAAAUCAAUCAACAUCCUAUAAAAACAACAUGACUUGAUGCCUUUUCUGACACCAUUUAGAAGCUACCAAGUUUAUAACACACUGUUUCUCUGUGUACCAGGACUGGAAUGGUUUGGAUGGAAAAAUCUUCACAAUUCUUCCAGUUAAUCAAAUUAGACAAAUACAAAUAACCUUCCCUUUUAUUUAGAUUAACUAAGUACAGUAAAGCCACCGUGAUUGCAGGAAAUUGCCUUUUUUUGAAGGGAGGCAUAUUUUUCCAUGACCGCUGAGCGUCUUCUCUCCAAAAGGUGGAUUGCAUUGAGACCUGUGCUCAGCGCAGUUCCAAAGGCAGAAAUAUCCAUGUGAAUUACAUCUGAUACUCAAGCGCUGUGUGACCAUGAAAGGAGCAGAGCGUGGCUGCCUGUCAUAAUAUGUCCUUGGAAAAGGCCUGGGUCAAAUAAUUUUAGUCUUGGCAUUAUUUGAACCUGGAUGGAGCUCAGGAAUGGUGGAAUUCGCUGUAUUGAGAUGAUUCAAAUGGAGUCAGGUGGCUUGUCAGUGACAGAAAAAUAUUAUUUACUUCAUAUCACAGCUGUCUUGCCUACCUCCUCUUAAACUUCCACCUUUUGAUCUUUGAUCUUUGAAUAAAUGAAUUAAUGAAUGAGCGUCA